rnacentral:rRNA from 1 species
UACGAAGGGGGCUAGCGUUGUUCGGAAUUACUGGGCGUAAAGCGCGCGCAGGCGGUCUUUCAAGUCAGUGGUGAAAGCCUGGAGCUCAACUCCAGAACUGCCAUUGAAACUGCAAGACUUGAGUACGAGAGAGGUGAGUGGAAUUCCCAGUGUAGAGGUGAAAUUCGUAGACAUUGGGAAGAACACCGGUGGCGAAGGCGGCUCACUGGCUCGUAACUGACGCUCAGGCGCGACAGCGUGGGGAUCAAACAGG